UAAUACGGAGGAUCCAAGCGUUAUCCGGAAUCAUUGGGUUUAAAGGGUCCGUAGGCGGUUUAGUAAGUCAGUGGUGAAAGCCCAUCGCUCAACGGUGGAACGGCCAUUGAUACUGCUAGACUUGAAUUAUUAGGAAGUAACUAGAAUAUGUAGUGUAGCGGUGAAAUGCUUAGAGAUUACAUGGAAUACCAAUUGCGAAGGCAGGUUACUACUAAUUGAUUGACGCUGAUGGACGAAAGCGUGGGUAGCGAACAGGAUUAGAUACCCUGGUAGUCCACGCCGUAAACGAUGGAUACUAGCUGUUGGGCGCAAGUUCAGUGGCUAAGCGAAAGUGAUAAGUAUCCCACCUGGGGAGUACGAACGCAAGUUUG
rnacentral:rRNA from 1 species